GCUUUAUGGAUUUCAAAAUCACACACAUACCCUUAAUAAGCGUAAAUAAUUAUUCUUAUUUUUAAUCCGUUUCAAAAAUAUGUGUCUAGACUAAUGGUUAAAAUCCAUAACGUCUCACACAUAAAAUGAAUAAUUAUUGAAUAUAUAACUGAUACGCAUACGAAUCAAGCGAGAAAGCACGACAAAGUGAGAAAAAACCAAAAUGGCUACAAUUGUCAAAAAGGAAUUUUGCUGAUCCCCUCUUUUCAUCCGAGAAAUAUCCAGACACGUGAGUAAUAUUUAUGCCCAUGAUAAUAAUAAUCCUUAUUAAUUGUGAUUUACAUCUUCAUACAUCAUCGUCCAUUACAGAUACAGCUUAGAAACAUACGUCUACUGCUCCAAAAGUCAAGCGGGCGAGAGUGGAUGACGGCGAGUCUUAUCGGUUCAUCUGUUCGUAUUUGGGAAACGGCAAUUGCCGGUAUUCCCAUUGGGCAGCAGUUUUCCUUUGCGACGGUUUAUCCACAGGAGCACCAGAAUCCGACACAGUCACAGACCAGCCAGUAACAGCAUCACAUUAUCGCUGCUAGCGAUCAUGAAGAUUCCUUUAUCGAGCAUUGAUGACUAAUGAGAAAAGAAGAUGCGUUGACGGAAAAUAUUGUCUGGAAAGUGAUACGACGGCAACGACGAUGCUCCUGCAGCUGCAGCUCCUGUCUAGCAGGGCACGAAACGCACAUAGAGCACGACCGCUCCAAUAUUAACAUCCUGAUAUGUGCGUCAUACCAAUAAUUGCUCCGCCUAGGAAAAUUUUAAAAGUUCCCAGAAGAAGACUCAGCAGCUCGCUCAGCAGGUGCUGGCAAUGAAAAGCAAAGUGCCGGUGGACUAAUGACGCUGCUGCUGUGGGAACUGGGUGAACGAAGUGUCUGGUCACAGACAUAAAUAUACGACUGUGAAAACGAUCGAGCAUCUCAGUAACGUUGAAUCGCACCGUAGUUGGAUGCAGAUUAUGAACACGUUGAUGCAUCACAAAAUCCAAGAUCACCUGCAGAAGGACGUACUUUUAUCGUGCUCAAAACCACACCACCGAUGGCAGGGUGCGAUGACGGAUAUUACUCUUCUGCCCACAACGAGAAUGAAAUAACGGUCAAGUUCUUUUUUCGUGCAAUGAAGGCAUAGGACUCAUCUUCUGCAAUCAGGUGCUGUGCAAACUGGCAGAGCAGCGCUGUCGUAGGCGUUGGCUAUUUACCCGAAGCUCGACCCGAAGAACUUGAACAUCCUAAUUCACGAUGCAGUUCUUCCUGAGGAAAUCGAUACAAACACUGAUGUGCAAGUUCCAUUGCUACCAAAACCAACAUAAAUGAGGCAACCGAGGUCGAUACGAAAAUUAAACCUACGGCGAUAAUACCAUUUUGUACCGAUAAAAAAUUAUCACUGCAAGCCUGUCAUCAGCGAGGUCAUCAGCAGAGUGAUCAACUGCAAUGAGGAUGUGUUAUCAUGUGUCGAAUUGAUAUCUUUCGAUGCUGCUAUAACGACACAUGUUUAAUGUUGGACGUUUUGCGACUGAUUUUUUUCAACUCCGCCAAUUAUGUUUAUGCCUAGUGCUUGAAAAUGAUGUCAGCUCCAAACAUUUGUGAAUUUCAAUUAUUACCGGUAAACCCAAAUUCAUAGUGUGUACCAUAUACUGAUUUAUAAUG